GCGAAUAGAAAAUCCUCAUCUUUUUUCCCAAAAGUUUACCACAGUGGAUACUAUGUUUUGGCAAAAUGCUCAAGCAAGAUGGAUUAAGCAUGGCAAGAAAUGGAACCAAUUCAAAUUACCAGAGAAUGACAUUCUUAUUGAUUAUGCCAAUGGUUUGCAGCCUCUUUAUUCUGUCAAAUGGCAUGAUGUUGACAUUGUGUAUGUCCCCAUCAAUGUUUGGGUUAGUCACUGGGUAUUAGGAGUUGUCCACCUUCAUCGAAGGAUUAUAUAUGUAUAUGACUCAUUGAUGUGCAUCAAUAAUAAUGCAAGAUUGCAAGUUGCCAUUAAACCAUUAGCCAAAUUGUUGCCGCAUAUAUUGAAUGCAAUAGCAUAUUAUGAGCUUCAUGGUAACACAAAAGUUAACUACCAGGAAUGGGAAAUUGAACGAUUGUAAGAUAUUCCUCAACAGGAAAAUGAUGGUGAUUGUGGCAUGUUUGUUAUCAAAUAUGUUGAAUACUUAAUGCACAACCAUCCAUUGAAGUCAUUAACAAGUGCUCGAAUGGACUGGUUUCGGGAAAAGAUGGCAGCAGAGUUAUUUUAUA